UACGGGGGGGGGCAAGCGUUGUUCGGAAUUACUGGGGCGUAAAAGGGCUCGUAGGCGGCCAACUAAAGUCGGACGUUGAAAAUCCCCCAGGCUCAACCUGGGGAAACUGCGUCCGAUACUGGAUGGCUUGAAUCCGGGGAGAGGGAUGCAGAAUUCCAGGUGUAGCGGUGAAAAUGCGUAGAUAUCUGGAGGGAAAUACCCGGUGGGCGAAAGGGCGGCAUCCCUGGGACCCGGCAUUGACGCUGAGGAGCGAAAAGCCCAGGGGGGAGCAAAACGGGG
rnacentral:rRNA from 1 species